AUCCCCACUUCCUCCUCCUCCUCCAGGCUUUUAUUGCUGAGCACGGUGAGAUCAUAGAAUCAUGGAACCAUAGAAUAUCCUGAGUUGGACGGGAUCCACCGGGAUCAUCAAAGUUUGACUCCUGGCCCUGCACAGGACAGCCAGUGUGAUAUGCACAAAUUCAAAACAUAGCACCAUAGCAGCUACUGUGAAGACAAUUAACCCAGCCAAAACUCAUUCAGCUCCAGCAACUGAUUGGGUGCACAUUUCCAAGUGGACUUGAAGAAAUGGAUCUGUUUAAACUGAGAGAAUCUGCUAAUUCAGGUAGCUGAGAAAAAUAUUUAGAACAUAUUUUUGGUCUGGACUUGUACGUAAAAAAACCUCACCAAUGAACAAACAAAAACCAACCACCCCCCCAGAAAAAUCCCAACAACCAAACACAAAAAAGUGCCAGAUACUAUAAUUCUUUGUUAAUAACAGCAAUCAAAAUAUCCAACUAUUCAUCAUUUUCUUUGUUUCCACUGGGUUUGCCUCCUCAACUGAUAGAACACUUUUUUUCAUCCAGAAUAUCUUCUUACUGAAAAAAAUAUUUUUAGCUGACCCCAAACAGUUCAGCCAAAGGAAUGUUAAUAAAAGAAAAUAUUAAUAAUCCUUACACUGAAUAGACUUCAACUGGAAUAUUAUUACAAGAUGCAGUAGCUCAGCCUAAGGACAAGAAGACAUAUUUAUUUUGUAGCUGAUUCAAAUAUUGGAGUUCAGUUACAUCCAAAUGCUUUGAGGAAAAUUAAUCAAGUAAUGGGGGAUGGGGGCAGUCAGGGAGAAGUCUGAUUUUAUUUCGAACUCCAGACCAUCUGCUUUCUAAAAAGGAAUAGCUCUUGAAUGGAAGAUACCUUUUCUUAAUGAUUUAAUUUUCUAUAUACUUUUUUGUUUCUACGUUGGCCUACCACACUAUGUCCUUAUCAGCAUGUAGAAUUCCUUGUUUUCCUGAGAAUAAAAUUAUUGUUUUCUUGCUCUAUGCCUUUAUGUCAUACAUUUUUAUUUCUGUGGAGGGAAAAGUAGUCACUUUUGGGGAAGUUCAAACUGAAGAAUGUCAUUUACAUGGCAAUGAAGUUCUCAAAUUACCAGUGUAAUGUUGUUGGGGGCUCUCUGUAUGGCUGGAUCUUGUGUUCUCCCCUUUGGAACACAAGGGAGAUGCCAGACACUUGUCAGCUUUCUCUUCUUAGAAAGAGCAUCAUCACACUCUUCCCAUUCCCUUACAUUAGCAGGCAAGAAGAAGGAAGCCAGGAAGCUGCAGACUGGUCAUGCUUACCUUGAUGUGUGGAGAAGUGAUGGAAAAACUCAUCCUAGUAGCUAUUUGCAGGCACAGGGAGGUGAUCCAGAGUAGGCUGCAUGGAUUAAUGAAAGAGAUGCUGUGCUUGACCAA